GACGAACGCUGGCGGCGUGCCUAAUACAUGCAAGUCGAGCGGACGGAUGGGAGCUUGCUCCCAGACCGUCAGCGGCGGACGGGUGAGUAACACGUGGGCAACCUGCCUGUAAGACUGGGAUAACUCCGGGAAACCGGGGCUAAUACCGGAUAACUCUUUCCCUCACAUGAGGGAAAGCUGAAAGAUGGCAUCUCGCUAUCACUUACAGAUGGGCCCGCGGCGCAUUAGCUAGUUGGUGAGGUAACGGCUCACCAAGGCGACGUUGCGUAGCCGACCUGAGAGGGUGAUCGGCCACACUGGGACUGAGACACGGCCCAGACUCCUACGGGAGGCAGCAGUAGGGAAUCUUCCGCAAUGGACGAAAGUCUGACGGAGCAACGCCGCGUGAGUGAUGAAGGUUUUCGGAUCGUAAAACUCUGUUGUCAGGGAAGAACAAGUACCGGAGUAACUGCCGGUACCUUGACGGUACCUGACCAGAAAGCCACGGCUAACUACGUG
rnacentral:rRNA from 1 species